UUUCCGUAGGUGAACCUGCGGAAGGAUCAUUAUUGUAUACCCGAGGUCCGAGCGCUUUCUCUGACCCGAUACGUCGUGCACGCCCGAGUGCCCUCACACACCUCCAUCUCACCCCUACUUGCACCACCGCGUCGGUCCCCCUUAGACUUGUUCGGAGGGGGGCUGACGUGUUCACACUAACUAUAUAUGCAGUGUAGAAUGUAUCUUUGGUUAUGGCGAUCACGGAACCAAUACACCUUCCAACAACCGACCUCUUGGCUCCCGCAUCGACGAAGAACC
rnacentral:misc_RNA from 1 species